rnacentral:rRNA from 1 species
AGCAGCAGCCACGGUAAUACGUAGGGUGCAAGCGUUAAUCGGAAUUACUGGGCGUAAAGCGUGCGCAGGCGGUUUGUUAAGACAGAUGUGAAAUCCCCGGGCUCAACCUGGGAACUGCAUUUGUGACUGGCAAGCUAGAGUGUGGCAGAGGGGGGUGGAAUUCCGCGUGUAGCAGUGAAAUGCGUAGAUAUGCGGAGGAACACCGAUGGCGAAGGCAGCCCCCUGGGCCAACACUGACGCUCAUGCACGAAAGCGUGGGGAGCAAACAGGAUUAGAUACCCCUGUAGUCCCUGUCUCUUAUAC